rnacentral:rRNA from 1 species
UUGAUGGAGAGUUUGAUUCUGGCUCAGAACGAACGCUGGCGGCGUGGAUAAGACAUGCAAGUCGAACGAGAGAAUUGCUAGCUUGCUAAUAAUUCUCUAGUGGCGCACGGGUGAGUAACACGUGAGUAACCUGCCCCCGAGAGCGGGAUAGCCCUGGGAAACUGGGAUUAAUACCGCAUAGUAUCGAAAGAUUAAAGCAGCAAUGCGCUUGGGGAUGGGCUCGCGGCCUAUUAGUUAGUUGGUGAGGUAACGGCUCACCAAGGCGAUGACGGGUAGCCGGUCUGAGAGGAUGUCCGGCCACACUGGAACUGAGACACGGUCCAGACACCUACGGGUGGCAGCAGUCGAGAAUCAUUCACAAUGGGGGAAACCCUGAUGGUGUGACGCCGCGUGGGGGAAUGAAGGUCUUCGGAUUGUAAACCCCUGUCAUGUGGGAGCAAAUUAAAAAGAUAGUACCACAAGAGGAAGAGACGGCUAACUCUGUGCCAGCAGCCGCGGUAAUACAGAGGUCUCAAGCGUUGUUCGGAAUCACUGGGCG